CCUACGGGCGGCAGCAGUGGGGAAUAUUGCACAAUGGGGGAAACCCUGAUGCAGCGACGCCGCGUGAGUGAAGAAGUAAUUCGUUAUGUAAAGCUCUAUCAGCAGGGAAGAAAAUGACGGUACCUGAGUAAGAAGCCCCGGCUAACUACGUGCCAGCAGCCGCGGUAAUACGUAGGGGGCAAGCGUUAUCCGGAUUUACUGGGUGGAAAGGGAGCGUAGACGGCAGGGCAAGUCUGGAGUGAAAGGCGGGGGCUCAACCCCCGGACUGCUCUGGAAACUGUACGGCUGGAGUGCAGGAGAGGUAAGUGGAAUUCCUAGUGUAGCGGUGAAAUGCGUAGAUAUUAGGAGGAACACCAGUGGCGAAGGCGGCUUACUGGACUGUAACUGACGUUGAGGCUCGAAAGCGUGGGGAGCAAACAGGAUUAGAUACCCCAGUAGUC
rnacentral:rRNA from 1 species